GGGUGGGGCGCCGGGGGAAACGAGGCCGGGAGGAAACCAAGCCAGGGGGCGAGGCGCCUCGGGGCCAGACCGGCGGGGACCCGCCCCCGCUCAGUGUGCCCGUCUGCGCAAUGGGCGCGGAGCCGCCGCCCCGCCCCCGCCCCCCGCCCUACCUCAUCGGGCUGGCGCCGGCCGCGUCCCGGAGGGCCGGCGGACGCUCGGGCCGGGCCGGCGAGCGGACGGGACGCGGCUUCUGCCUCCGGCGCGAGCGACCCCGAGACCCGAGCUCGGUCUCAGGCAGCGCCCGGACCCGGCUCCUCCGCCAGCCGCCGGGCGACGUCAAUGCGCCGUGACGUCAUCCCGCCCGCGGUGACAUCAGCGCGGCGCCGGGCUCCCGGGAGAGGAGGGGGCGGGGGCGAUGCCACCGUGGGGGCGGAGAGAUCCUGGAACGCCGCCAAGCGAAUGGCUGACUCAACGAUCGAUCAGUCGCCGAAGCGACCAAUGAAAGAAGGGAGAGCGAGCGGCGGGGGCGGGAAGAGCGGGCCUGCCCGAAGCACCUGGCGGCCGACAGGGGGCAGUGAGGAGACGGCUGGGCAGAUGCUGGCAGCCUUCAGACACCUCCCCAUGGCUUCUGUACUCGCUUCCAUUUUGAAUCUUGAGAGGCUGUGAUAUACUGAAUAUCUUAAUCUUCAUUAAUGAAUAUAUCAAGAUUAAAUCAGGAUAUCAGCAGGAUUUCCACCUGAUCAUUUGCAUGGGUGCCUUCCGUCUCCUGGAUCACUUUUCUCUAUCCCUAUAUCUAGUUCUUCAGGAAAAAGAAUUGUACCUUCCACUCAAUGAUAAACAUUUGAAUGCUUGCCCUAUACAGCUCAGUGAUUCUGAGUUUAUCAUCAAAAUCCAUUCUGUGUCCCCCACCACCCAAUUCCUCAUUCCCAUCCCUCUAGAUCAGGGGUCCUCAAACUUUUUAAACAGGGGGCCAGUUCACUGUCCCUCAGACUGUUGGAGGGCCCGACUAUAACAAAAACAAAAACUUUGUUCUGUGGGCCUUUAAAUAAAGAAACUUCAUAGCCCUGGGGGAAGGGGAUAAACAUCCUCAGCUGCCACAUCUAGCCUGUGGGCUGUAGUUUGAGGACCCCUGCCUAGAUCUUCCAACCCCAAAGUUCCAACAAAAUGCUUCCCAUAGCUUCCACUUUGCCUUCUGGGUUGCCUUCAUGCAUAGGCAACAAACUUUUCUUCAGGCUAAAUAUUUUCCUUUCCCAUUCCUUCUUUCUACUACCUUUGAUUGAAAACGUGGCUUCCUCAUGCUCCAUAGCUCUCCUCUCUCAAAUGCUUUAUGUUGGACUGAAAAAAAAAUUGUUAUCAUUCAUAAUAAACUCCCCUUAUGCCCUCUUCCUGUAUUCAUGUCACAUAUAGGUCUUCUGACACUUUCUCCUUAAUCCAUUUCACAUGCAGAGAUGGAUUUACUAUUUUUUUGGUGAGACAAUCAGGAUUAAAUGACUUGUUCAGAAUCAUAUAGCUAGGGAGUGUCCAAUGUUUAAGCCAGAUAUGAACUCAGGUCCUCCUACCUGCAGGACUGGUGCUCUAUCCACUGCACCACCUCGCUGUUCCAAAUAACAAUACCAUUUCUUUGGAGUCUCUCACAACCCAGAAGUCAUCCUGCACUGCUCACUUUCCCAUCCCCAAUAUCUAGCCCAAAGCCAAAGUCUAUCAAUUUCACCUUUCCCCCAUCUCUCCCCUAACACUGCCUUCACCUUAGUGUAGAUCUUUAGCACCUCACAUCUGCAUUAUUUCAAAAGUCUACUAGAGGCUCUGCCUGCCUCAAGUCUCUCCCCACUCCAAUCCAUCCUCCAUUCAUCACCAAAGUGAUUUUCCUGAAGGACGGGUCCAACCAUCUCCUUACUUAAUACUCUAAAAUGGCUUCCUAUCAUCUCCAAGAUCAAAUACAAAGUGCUCUGUCUGGCAUUAAAAGGCCUUCAUAGUCCCCUUCCACCUUUCCAGUUUUUUAAAAUCUUAUUCUCCAGUAGGUGCUCUUCACUCCAGUGACAGUGGCCUCCUGCUUAUCCCACAAACAAGAUUUGCUAUCUCUUGGUUCCAGUAAUUUUCUCUGGCUGUCCCCUUUACCUUAAAUGUUCUCCUUCUUCAUCCUUGCCGACUGGAAAGCCCAGGCUUCUCUAACUUCCUUUAAAUCCCACCUAAAAUCUUAUCUAUAGGGGAAAUCCUUUCCUAAUCCCUCUUCAUUCUAGUGAGUUUCCUCCUUUAAUUAUUUCCUGCAGUAGUUUUUCCUAUAUAAAUCUGGAGAUAUUUGUCUGUUGUCUCCCCCAUCAGAUUGUGAAUUCCUUGAGGGCUCGCUCUGUCCCUUGACCAUUUUUGUAAACCUAGUACUUAGCAUCAUGUCUUGCACACAGUAGGCAUUUUAUGUUUAUUGAGUGACUGACAGAAGAUCACACAGCCAGUAUGUGUCGAGAUGGGCAGACUCACUCUCUGUUCAUUCUAUUCAUCACGUCUUGUUUCUCUGGAUGUAAGGAGACAGUGAAAGUUCCAUCAGCUGCUGCUGUUGCUGUUGUUACCAUCUUUGUCCGGCUAUACUUUAUUCCUAUUGGUUGGUUUCUUUCUGUGAUCGAAACAAUACAAAUGAAAAACAUUGCAAAUAGCAGUGGCUGCAUUUCUCCUAAAUAGCUGAAUGUGGAAGAAAACUAGCUCCCCCUUCUGAAAAGUGAUGUUAUAGCCUUAAGUCUGGGCUCCUGGAAAACAGAUGGUGAGUGACUCAGCUUGCUAAGCUUCAUGGAGAAUAACUGGUGUCCUAGAACAAAACCACACUAAAG
ensembl:lncRNA